AGUCGAGCGGAGAUGAAGUGCUUGGCACCUUAUCUUAGCGGCGGACGGGUGAGUAAUGCUUAGGAAUCUGCCUAUUAGUGGGGGACAACAUUCCGAAAGGAAUGCUAAUACCGCAUACGUCCUACGGGAGAAAGCAGGGGAUCUUCGGACCUUGCGCUAAUAGAUGAGCCUAAGUCGGAUUAGCUAGUUGGUGGGGUAAAGGCCUACCAAGGCGACGAUCUGUAGCGGGUCUGAGAGGAUGAUCCGCCACACUGGGACUGAGACACGGCCCAGACUCCUACGGGAGGCAGCAGUGGGGAAUAUUGGACAAUGGGGGGAACCCUGAUCCAGCCAUGCCGCGUGUGUGAAGAAGGCCUUAUGGUUGUAAAGCACUUUAAGCGAGGAGGAGGCUACUGAGACUAAUACUCUUGGAUAGUGGACGUUACUCGCAGAAUAAGCACCGGCUAACUCUGUGCCAGCAGCCGCGGUAAUACAGAGGGUGCGAGCGUUAAUCGGAUUUACUGGGCGUAAAGCGUGCGUAGGCGGCUUUUUAAGUCGGAUGUGAAAUCCCCGAGCUUAACUUGGGAAUUGCAUUCGAUACUGGGAAGCUAGAGUAUGGGAGAGGAUGGUAGAAUUCCAGGUGUAGCGGUGAAAUGCGUAGAGAUCUGGAGGAAUACCGAUGGCGAAGCAGCCAUCUGGCCUAAUACUGACGCUGAUGUACGAAAGCAUGGGGAGCAAACAGGAUUAGAUACCCUGUAGUCCAUGCCGUAAACGAUGUCUACUAGCCGUUGGGGCUUUGAGCU
rnacentral:rRNA from 1 species